AAAUUGAAGAGUUUGAUCAUGGCUCAGAUUGAACGCUGGCGGCAGGCCUAACACAUGCAAGUCGAACGGUAACAGGAAGCAGCUUGCUGCUUCGCUGACGAGUGGCGGACGGGUGAGUAAUGUCUGGGAAACUGCCUGAUGGAGGGGGAUAACUACUGGAAACGGUGGCUAAUACCGCAUAACGUCGCAAGACCAAAGAGGGGGACCUUCGGGCCUCUUGCCAUCAGAUGUGCCCAGAUGGGAUUAGCUAGUUGG
rnacentral:rRNA from 2 species